rnacentral:lncRNA from 1 species
CAGCAGCUCCCUCACAGAGCCUUCAGCUCUCCCUCCACCCCUGGCAAAGGAUCCAGGCAGAAUUCCCAGCUCAGGACUGGGUUUAACUCUGCAGAGCCGGGAUCCAGAAUUCCCAGCUCUGCCAGGACUGGGCUUAACUCUGUUGAACCUGGAUCCAGGCAGAAUUCCCAGGUCAGGACUGGGUUUAACUCUGCUGAAAGAGAAUCCAGGCAGAAUUCCCAGCUCAGGACUGGGUUAAGCUCUGCAGAGGCAGGAUCCAGAAUUCCCAGCUCUCCCAGGAGUGGGUUUAGCUCUGCUCAAGCAGAAUCCAGACAGAAUUCCCAGUUCUGCCAGGACUGGGUUUAGCUCUGCAGAGCCAGGUUCCAGAAUUCCCAGCUCAGGACUGGGCUUAGCCCUCCUGAGCCUGGAUCCAGGCAGAAUUCCCAGCUCAGGACUGGGUUUAACUCUGCAGAGCCAGGAUCCAGAAUUCCCAGCUCAGGACUGGGUUUAGUUCUGCAGAGCCAGGAUCCAGAAUUCCCAGCUCAGGACUGGGUUUAGCCCUCCUGAGCCUGGAUCCAGGCACAAUUCCCAGCCCUGCCAGGCCUCUGCUGCCCCUGUGCUGCCCAGGGCUGUCCCAGCUCCCCUCCCAGGCCCUGCUGCCAUUCCCACCUCCAGCAGACACAGAGAGC